UACGGAGGGGGCUAGCGUUGUUCGGAAUUACUGGGCGUAAGGCGCACGUAGGCGGAUCUUUAAGUCAGGGGUGAAAUCCCGGAGCUCAACUCCGGAACUGCCUUUGAUACUGAGGGUCUCGAGUCCGGGAGAGGUGAGUGGAACUGCGAGUGUAGAGGUGAAAUUCGUAGAUAUUCGCAAGAACACCAGUGGCGAAGGCGGCUCACUGGCCCGGUACUGACGCUGAGGUGCGAAAGCGUGGGGAGCAAACAGG
rnacentral:rRNA from 1 species